CUCCACAACAAGUGAUUUAAACUGCUUGUGUCACAUGCAGAGUGCAGUGCACACUGCGACCGUUAGUUUUCAUAAAGCGGAUAUGGUGUUUUGUCAUAAAGUAAUAUUUGGAUUUGAAUGAAUGAAAGUAACAUGUGCCUUUAUGCUGAGGGCGGAGUCAUAGCGUAUCAAGAUACACUCUUCCGCACGUUCAUUCAUGUAUGAACUUCUCUGACCUUGGAAGACAGGAUACGCAUAGAGCAAACAAGUUGAAUACAAGUUGGCGUACGCUUCAUUUCAGAGACCCAAAGGCGUUCCAGACAAAUUAAAGCUGCUGUUUUAUUCAGUUUAAUAAAGGACUCUUCAGCCUAGCACACAUUCAAGGACCAACAUCCAAACAUGAGUGGGGCGAUACAUCUAAUCUGCCUGGCUCUGUUUGGCUGGCCUGUAUCUGGUGCUUCUGUUGAAGCUCAGAAGACCUCCCAGGUCUGUUACCUCUGUAACCAUGAUAACUGCCCAGCCGUUGAGUAUGUUUAUGACCAUUUGACGGAUUUGACUUUGUGGUCGCGAGGUAAAAUGGCUGACCUCCCUCCCUGCCCCACCACCUCCCCCGCGCAAUCUGGAAAAUGCUUGUUGUGUGUUGAGAACCAGAAGGUCUACGCUGUGUGUGAAUCAGAGAUCAUCAAGCCAGUCUUUGAGGGCCAAGGCAACUCCAUGCCUAUUAUCAAAGCCAAUUGUCCCAGCAUUGUUUCAACUGAUCAGACGGGUGGAGCUGGAGGUUUAGCCAGGCAUCCUGAUCCAAAUGUCCCCACUUUGACCCCCGAUGGCACUGGCGAGUUAUCCAAGGAAGCAAAGAUCGCUAUUGGUGUGCCAGCCACAAUCGCCUUGCUCGUCAUCCUCGUCAUCAUCAUCAUUGUUGCUUUGCGCAGAAGGACCAGAUCAAGGUUUUGUCUAGUGUCCACUUCAGAAGUCCAGUCAGGAACACCAGACCCAGUUAAAGUUAUUAAAGACCAAUGUUCAUAUUGUGUGAGCCUAGGAAAAGAGGAAGAGAUGGACCUGCAAGGAGGGUGUUAAGAUAUGAAUAUCUCAUCAUAUAUUUUCAGGGUGAAUGUUGUCUACUUCCUGUCUAGUUUUAUUCAAACCUAUGGUUUAACUUGAGGAAACAGUACGGUCUAUUAGAAAACCAGGUGUUACGAACCCCUUUUGCCCUGCAGUCUAGGGGGGAUGGAAACGAGACCCGUAACAUAUCUCAUGCAAAUUAUAACAAUGAAAAGGAACAGUGAGAACUAAAAGAAAUCCACAGACAACCUAAACCUACCGUCAAACACUUUAGGUUUAUUUCAAACACACGGUAAUGGGGUGUGGGAAAAAGGGCUGAACUGGACCCAAGGAAAGAAAUAUCCAAAAACCCCUAAGCUAGUCUUACCUGCUUCACGAACAGCUAGCUAACUAACCAAUAAAAUACAGUGGGUGCUCCGCCCAGUUCUAACUAGGGUAUUUAGACAAAGGUUUUUCUACGGGUAAUGUAUGCCCAAGGGCGACUUGGCUUGGUAUCCCCUUUUCCCACCAACAAACAAACAGCCAUUCAGCACAGCAAUACAUACUCACAUGCUAAUGGCCAAUGUGAGAUGUAGGCUCAAAAACAAAAGAGAGAUAGCUCUAGAGACAACUGAUUGGGAUUAUUUUAAACCAAGGGAAAGGGGAUGUGAUUGGGUAAGGGAAAAGGAGCAGGUGUGUCUUCAGAUUGGCGACUGAUGACUGCCACCUGUGACUAGGGCAGAAGGAGAGAAACUAUUCGGACACUACAGACGUUUACGUGAGAAGACACAUUUUUGGGAUGUCUCAUGGUCUGAUAAACACCCUCUAGCUCUGCCACCUUUCACCGCAGAUGCAGAAGUACGACACUGGCGGAUGCGGUGGAUUGAAACGCAUCCAAUGCAAAAAAACAUACAGGAUCUCAAUCUUAAACUGAGGGAUUUUGAUAGAUUUUUUGGUUAUGUAACUUAGAUUGACACACCGGUGUGUCUCUAGGGGGUUAAACCAUAUACGUUUUGGUUCACCAAGUUUGUGUGUUUUGCACAGGUCCGGCCCGCUCGUUAGGCACGAUUAGGUGGCCGCCGUUGGCGCCAGAUUGACGAGGGCGGCAUUUUCUGAGCUAAACUGGCCAUUUCUGGCCAUUUCAAUCAACCAUGGUUUUGCAUGGUUGAUUGAAACAUGAAGUUAUGUUUUUACCAUUGCAAGUAUUUGCAUUGUACUGUAAUUGCUUGUCUGGUGAGGUUAAUUGGUGUUAGUGAUUAGUGUUCUGCAGAGGUUGACCAGAAAGAGGCCUCCAGAAUAAAAUACUGUAUACAAGGGCCACAUGUUUGAGUUCAUAAAUUCUCCUCAGACAUCGAUCUGGACUGAUCAAGAGGGUUAAUUUUUCGGGUUUCUUGUAAAAAUCUUGACAGUCCACUAGCCAACUAUAAAAGCAUGAAGGAUGCAGUCAUAAUGUCAAAAUGAAUUCAAGUUCUUUCCUGUGUAUUGACAGUUCAUGCAUAAUCUAUUCCGUCCUAUUUUAGUCUUUGUUCUAUUUGAUUAUACAAAGCCCUAUUUACAUGCAAGGGAAUCUACAGCCAUCAAUAUCCUGGUGCAAGUGAUGCUCAUCUUAUGUGCUCGUUCCUUGUCUAUUUUCAGAAUAAACAACACCAGAGAACUGGGAUCGCUGGCUGGGCAUGUGUUUAUUUACACAGCACAUAAAUAGCAGUACAAUCACAUCUGUUAACAUCUGUUUAUAAAACUGGUGAGAAGAAGAAGAAAGGGAGAGGAGAGGGACAGGAGAGGGAACAUGUUUUAGGAAUUCCAUUCCUAUUGACCAAAGUCCAUAUCUGGAUACACAUCACUGAUUUAAAGUGUUUCAACUGAUUGAGGGUUGUUCCCUCAGCUGUCUCUCAGCCAAGCACAAAGCAGCUCUACAGGGGAAUUUACAUUUCAGGUUAAUUACACCACCAUUCCUAGUUACAGAAAUGUCUUUGUUUGAGUGGUCACUAUGGAGAUGAACAGUAAAUACCAAAACAGAACAGUAGUCGUUUCCUGUUUACGUCCCUGACUCCAGUAUGACAUGACACCAUAUUGUAUUCACAGUCUGGGAGACUCAUAAGGGGACUCCCUUAAUCAACAUCCACACCCCAGGAACAGUUCUUGGUGGUGGUUAACUGCCUUGCUCAGAACGGGCAGAACGGCAGAUUUUUCCACCUUGCCGGCUCGGAGAUUCGAACCAGCAACCGUUCAGUUCAGGGGUGCAACUUUCACUGGGGACGGGGGACACCCCCCCAUUCUGAAAUUGCAUUUUUGUCCCCCCCCAGUUUUAUCAUUGGAAUGUGAUACAAAAAGAGGCAACUGAGUGCUUUAGGAUCAUGCGGACGCCUCCGAGUGGUCGGGUAGGCUGUUUGGAGUGUUUAUCCGACUGGAUAAAAAAAAAAAAAAGUUAUGUCCAUCCCACUUCUAAACCCAAAGUUGCACCCCUGGUUCAGUUACUGGCACAUUACCCUCAACACCAUAAAGAAUGGAACACAAUGAGCAGAUACAUUAUUAACAGCAGCUCCAGGGCCCUCACCCAAAAAGUAAUCAGCUUCCCCAUGAUGGCCGAAGGCAGGCUCCCCUAUGCAUCUCACAGACACACCCCACCCACC
rnacentral:lncRNA from 8 species